UUAGUGGUAAAAGCCCUAGC
rnacentral:tRNA from 1 species